CAAGCUCAAACCCAUUUGUUUAUGAUCUUAAAAUGGCUCACAAGAUUGAAAAAGUUAGAAGUAAAUUAGAUGAGAUUGCUGCAAAUAAGAAGUUUCACUUAGAUAAGCUCCCUGAGAAGACAUUUCCUAUGAUUGGGGAAAGAGAGCAAACUCACUCAUCCUUACCUCAAGUAGUUGUUGGCAGAAAAGAAGAUAAGAAGAAAAUUGUUGAUUUUCUUCUGUCUUCUUCUUAUGGGGAGAACGUGUCCAUCAUUUCCAUUGUUGGUAUUGGAGGCUUGGGAAAGACAACACUUGCUCAACUU
rnacentral:misc_RNA from 1 species